rnacentral:rRNA from 1 species
AACGAACGUUAGAGAGAUGUUUUAAGCAUGCAAGUCGAACGAACCUUCGGGUUAGUGGCGGACGGGUGAGUAACGCGUGAGAAUCUGCCCUCAGGAGGGGGAUAACAGCUGGAAACGGCUGCUAAUACCCCAUAUGCCGCGAGGUGAAAUGAAUUUCGCCUGAGGAUGAGCUCGCGUCUGAUUAGCUAGUUGGUGAGGUAAAGGCUCACCAAGGCAUCGAUCAGUAGCUGGUCUGAGAGGAUGAUCAGCCACACUGGGACUGAGACACGGCCCAGACUCCUACGGGAGGCAGCAGUGGGGAAUUUUCCGCAAUGGGCGAAAGCCUGACGGAGCAACGCCGCGUGAGGGAUGAAGGCCUCUGGGCUGUAAACCUCUUUUAUCAAGGAAGAAGAUCUGACGGUACUUGAUGAAUAAGCCACGGCUAAUUCCGUGCCAGCCGCCG